rnacentral:lncRNA from 1 species
GUUACGUGUGUGGGGGAGCCAGGCCCCAUCUGGGCACAGUUCCUCUGAAUUUACCUCCUGAAGUAGAAUCAUGUGUUCUGAGCCUUUACACACAGUCCGUCACCAAUUCUUCGACAUGUGAAUCAUGGAAGAGAAUUUACCCGAUCACUCACGGACAUGUAAAACCACCUGAUGGAGUCACCAUCUACCCAGGUAAUUACACAUGUUAUACAAUAUCUAAAAACACCGGUUUGUAUUUGGGCAAAUUCCCAUCAGGAUAUUGCUCAACUUACCAUAAUCCACCCGUAUCACUGCUAAUGAACCACACAAAGACAAUCGGCGACAUCUAUUGGUUAUGUGGGGAUAAACAAUUGAGGUCCCAAUUAAUUGGGCAAUGGUGGGGGGAGUGUGCCCUAACCAAAGUCAUAAUGCCUAUCCAUAUCAUUCCAGAUGGUGACCAUAACACGUUAAACCUCACACAUGCACACUCUAGAAUCAAACGAGAGACUCCUAUUCGAGGGAGUUUCGACCCCCAUGUGUAUAUUGAUGCCAUAGGUGUGCCAAGGGGGGUGCCUAACGAAUUCAAAGCAAGAGAUGAAGUGGCUGCAGGAUUUGAGUCCCUAAUUCCAAUGAUAACUGCUAACAAAAAUGUCAAUUGGAUUAACUAUAUUUACUAUAAUCAACAGCGUUUUGUCAACUACACUAGGGAUGCCCUACAGGGCCUGGCAGAGCAACUACAAGCCACUACCCAAAUGACAUUUCAGAACAGAAUGGCCCUAGAUAUGAUUUUAGCUGAGAAAGGGGGUGUAUGUAAAAUCCUCCCUGAGACCAUGACAUGCUGCACAUACAUUCCAGACAACACUGGGCCCAAUGGUAAGGUGACUAUGGCCAUAGAGAAGCUAGAUAGUCUUGCAGACGAGCUAAAGAAAAAUUCAGGAGUCAUCGACCCUUGGGACAGAUGGUUUGGAUGGAUGAAUGGUUGGCAAAGGACCCUCUUCCAGGUGGGGACAGCUGUUCUCAUAAUGAUCGUUAUUUUCUUAUUUCUGACCUGUUGCAUAUUCCCCUGCAUACAGAAGUAUUUACAGAAAGCGGUGGACAAGACUAUAGAUGACGUGACCCCUACUUUCAUACACCAAGACAUCACAGACCUCGAAGAUGAUACUCCACAUACACCCCUUCAAUCACAUCAGUUCAAACAAACAACUGCUUUCCUAUAGGGACAGUAUAGGGAAAGUGUCUGUCUUAACUGGCGAGUCUCACGUGUGGAGAUGUAGUGGACUAGCCACUGCGGGUUACCCACGGAGUGAAGUGUUCGAUGCUAGUUAAGGCAGAUAGGUUGCAGGCAACUAGGGACAUACUAGGGACAGUAGCAGUUGUUAUGGUAAAUAGCCAUUUUAGGGGGGACUGUUGUGGAAAUAAGGUCUACACAUAUUUCCUAGUUAGUGAAAAAUGUCUAUUUACUCAUUUCACGAUAUAUAUAUAUAGCUAAGCACACAUGUUAUAAUCAAGAUGGCUGCUAGAAGCUUCUAGCUCCUUCCCCCUCCCCUCCCUUUCUUCUUCCUAACAUUGACUAACUACCUCGUGCACCAAGAUGGCGCCGGGAAACCGUGGGAG